rnacentral:rRNA from 1 species
UACAGAGGGGGCAAGCGUUGUUCGGAAUUACUGGGCGUAAAGGGCGCGUAGGCGGCCCGCUAAGUCGAACGUGAAAUCCCUGGGCUCAACCCAGGAACUGCGUCCGAUACUGGCAGGCUUGAAUCCGGGAGAGGGAUGUGGAAUUCCAGGUGUAGCGGUGAAAUGCGUAGAUAUCUGGAGGAACACCGGGUGGCGAAGGCGGCAUCCUGGACCGGUAUUGACGCUGAUGCGCGAAAGCCAGGGGAGCAAACGGG